GAUGAACGCUGGCGGCGCGCCUAACACAUGCAAGUCGAACGGCACCCCUCCUCGGAGGGCAGCGAGUGGCGAACGGCUGAGUAACACGUGGAGAACCUGCCCCCUCCCCCGGGAUAGCCGCCCGAAAGGACGGGUAAUACCGGAUACCCCGGGGUGCCGCAUGGCACCCCGGCUAAAGCCCCGACGGGAGGGGAUGGCUCCGCGGCCCAUCAGGUAGACGGCGGGGUGACGGCCCACCGUGCCGACAACGGGUAGCCGGGUUGAGAGACCGACCGGCCAGAUUGGGACUGAGACACGGCCCAGGCUCCUACGGGAGGCAGCAGUGGGGGAUCUUGCGCAAUGGGGGGAACCCUGACGCAGCGACGCCGCGUGCGGGACGGAGGCCUUCGGGUCGUAAACGGCUUUCAGCAGGGAAGAGUCAAGACUGUACCUGCAGAAGAAGCCCCGGCUAACUACGUG
rnacentral:rRNA from 1 species